rnacentral:rRNA from 1 species
CAAGUCGAACGGAGCUGAGAGGAGCUUGCUUUUCUUAGCUUAGUGGCGAAUGGGUGAGUAACGCGUGAGUAACCUGCCCUGGAGUGGGGGACAACAGUUGGAAACGACUGCUAAUACCGCAUAAGCCCACGGCCCGGCAUCGGGCUGAGGGAAAAGGAUUUAUUCGCUUCAGGAUGGACUCGCGUCCAAUUAGCUAGUUGGUGAGGUAACGGCCCACCAAGGCGACGAUUGGUAGCCGGACUGAGAGGUUGAACGGCCACAUUGGGACUGAGACACGGCCCAGACUCCUACGGGAGGCAGCAGUGGGGGAUAUUGCACAAUGGGGGAAACCCUGAUGCAGCGACGCCGCGUGGAGGAAGAAGGUUUUCGGAUUGUAAACUCCUGUCGUUAGGGACGAUAAUGACGGUACCUAACAAGAAAGCACCGGCUAACUACGUGCCAGCAGCCGCGGUAAAACGUAGGGUGCAAGCGUUGUCCGGAAUUACUGGGUGUAAAGGGAGCGCAGGCGGACCGGCAAGUUGGAAGUGAAAACUAUGGGCUCAACCCAUAAAUUGCUUUCAAAACUGCUGGCCUUGAGUAGUGCAGAGGUAGGUGGAAUUCCCGGUGUAGCGGUGGAAUGCGUAGAUAUCGGGAGGAACACCAGUGGCGAAGGCGACCUACUGGGCACCAACUGACGCUGAGGCUCGAAAGCAUGGGUAGCAAACAGGAUUAGAUACCCUGGUAGUCCAUGCCGUAAACGAUGAUUACUAGGUGUUGGAGGAUUGACCCCUUUCAGUGCCGCAGUUAACACAAUAAGUAAUCCACCUGGGGAGUACGACCGCAAGGUUGAAACUCAAAGGAAUUGACGG